rnacentral:rRNA from 1 species
AGUGAACGCUGGCGGUAGGCCUAACACAUGCAAGUCGAACGGCAGCACAGUAAGAGCUUGCUCUUACGGGUGGCGAGUGGCGGACGGGUGAGGAAUACAUCGGAAUCUACUUUUUCGUGGGGGAUAACGUAGGGAAACUUACGCUAAUACCGCAUACGACCUACGGGUGGAAGCAGGGGAUCUUCGGACCUUGCGCGAUUGAAUGAGCCGAUGUCGGAUUAGCUAGUUGGCGGGGUAAAGGCCCACCAAGGCGACGAUCCGUAGCUGGUCUGAGAGGAUGAUCAACCACACUGGAACUGAGACACGGUCCAGACUCCUACGGGAGGCAGCAGUGGGGAAUAUUGGACAAUGGGCGCAAGCCUGAUCCAGCCAUACCGCGUGGGUGAAGAAGGCCUUCGGGUUGUAAAGCCCUUUUGUUGGGAAAGAAAAGCAGCAGGUUAAUACCCCGCUGUUCUGACGGUACCCAAAGAAUAAGCACCGGCUAACUUCGUG